GCCCUAGACUUCUUUCUCCAGGCUCCCGUUGUGUGGCUUGGCUGCCCACUACCUCAUUCCCAUCAAUGGACAAUGGCUGGGAGAGAAAGCCUCCGUGACUGUAAGUGACUCCCCAGACCCUUGGCCUCUGCCACCUGUCACCGAGCCCACUGACGCACCUCCACUGUCACGUUGGCAGUGCUCCAUGCAGUCUCUUGUCCCACAUUUCUUAAGAGGCAAAAAUUACAUUUACUUUACUGACCACAAGCCAGCACUGGGAGCUGGGAGGGUCGGGGUGGAGUGUUUCCUUCCAAUAAUGCUUCCUGGGGAAGGAAGCCUAAAACAACACAAAGCAAAGCUCCAGCCUUUCCAGAGGAAUGUGGGGGCAGCUAUUGCUGUCGCUGCCGCUGCUGCUGUGAUUUUCUGGAACACAAUGUCGUCAUGAGAACUCCUAGGCACCCUCUCCCAUGGCAGACCUGCUCUACUGGCAUGCUUAUUUGGGAUACUGAGAAAAUAUGAGGAUGCCAAGACAAAUGAAGUCUUGGCACUCACAUCUACGGAGAUAAAAGCAUUUUUAUGAAUUCUGAUGCUUUUCCUUCUUUUUUUCUCUUUCUUCUUCCUCCUCCUGCCUCCUCAUUCUCCCUCUCCUCCGCCAUCAACCCCAUCUUAUAAAUAGUUGUUGAACUUCCACUAUGAAUUUCCACCAACGUACUGAGCUAGGUACUUUGAGAAACACAAAAAUGUGCAUUGAGGUAAAAGGAACACAGCACAGGGAUCUAGUGACCUCCCUUUCUAAACCUCAUUUUAUUCACUGUUUUCUCAAAAAUUCAUGUGGAUAAUAUGAUUGUUAAUGAUGAGGUAUAACAUGUUCUGCCCUUGUAGUCUCCUGGGAGAGGCAGGUACUUGGAAAACUACUGAGAACCUGGAGAAGUGCCUUUAAUAAAGUGAUAAACACAAAGUCCUAAGAUUGCAUCUAGUUUAUUGAAUCACAAAGUGUUUUCAAUGGAUUAGUGGAUUGUAUAAUGUAAUCUUUACAACAAUCCUGUGCAGUAGGAAGGGGAACAAUGUUGUUAGUUUUUGGUUUAUCUGUCCCUCCACAGUCCCUGGAGAAGGGAACUUGUUAUAGAGUCAGAUUUUUAUAGUUAAAGCAACUAUUGGAAAAAGAAAAGAAAAACCACCAGCCUAGCACGUUCCUUAUAUGGAUGAGGAACCCGAGGUUGGAAGUCAGCCUGAGGUAAUAGAAAAAGCAGAACAUUCCACCUGGUCACCUGGGUUCCUGCUCAGUUCUCAGCCAUAUGCUGGACACAUGAUUUUGCACAUGACUUCUUUAUGCCUUGAUACCCUCUUCUGUAAAAUUAAGUCAACACUAUUUUAUCUGACUGUCUUAUUAGGCUGUUAUGAAUGUUAAAUGAGAGAAUGAAUAUGAAAACACUUUGUGAAACAUUAAAUGCUAUUAUAACUAACAAUACCUUUUUGUACCAGGUAUCACGGAACAGUCUCCACUCCAGGUUAUGGAUCCACUGUUGGGCAGUUCUACACUGCUCACAUCCGGAUGCCGAUUCUGCCAGCAAAUCCAUCUGAUUCUAUCUCUCUCUCCGGUCUGUCUAACUCUAGGUUCUGCACAUGUCUAACAUGUGGUUGUGUGAGUGCCAGAGUGCAAGCUCUUGGGAGGCAGGGGACACAUUUAUUGAUGUUGUAUCACCAACAUUUAGUACAUGCCUGCUAAAAAGUUACUGUCAACAUAUUUGUUGAACAAUGAUUACUGGAUGGGUGGAUGAAACAUCAAUAUGACUUGCCCAAGGGCAGUUAUGAAUGUCUCCAAAACUAUUUCAGGGGUAAUUCAUGAACAUGUCCUCUGAGGAUUCUUCUUCCAUCUCUAAGUCAGUUCCUAUGAUAUGACUACCUCAGGGCAAGAAAGUCACUGUGUCCCUGCUACAACAAAAGAUCACUCAUGUUUCCCGACCACUCAUGUUACCCUCUCUCUUCUCAAGAGGGCAUUUCCUUUCAAUGAUGUGAUUUUACAUACUGCAUGCCUGUAUCAAAACAUCUAAUGUAUCCCAUAAAUAUACAUAUAUCUACUAUGUACCCGCAAAAAUUAAAAAAAAAAUUUUUUUUAAAGAGGGCAUUUUGGCCAGGUGCAGUGGCUCACACCUGUAAUCCCAGCACUUUGGGAGGCCAAGGUGGGUGGAUCACUUGAGAUCAGGAGUUCAAGACCAGCCUGGUCAACAUGGUGAAACCCUGUCUCUACUAAAAAAUACAAAAAUUAGCCAGGUGUGGUGGUAGGCGCCUGUAAUCCCAGCUACUCGGGAGGCUGAGGCAGGGAGAAUCGUUUGAACCUGGGAGGCAGAGGUUGCAGUGAGCUGAGAUUGUGCCACCGUGCUCCAACCUGGGUGACUGAGCAAGACUCUAUCUCAAAAAAAAAAAAAAAAAAAAAAAGAGGGCAUUUCCCAUUUCUUUUUAUAAACUCUAUUCCAGUUAUGUUGAGUGUCAGCCAAAGAUCUGAGGUUGGUGUCCUGCAGCCAGUACUGCUGGAAUGGAUUGACAGUCAUGGGAAUGUACCAGGUAUCAUGGGGGCAGGCCCUGCUCUAGGUUAUGGAGCCACUGUUGGGUAGUCCUACCCUUCUCACAUCCAGAUGCAGAUUCCGCUGGCAAUUCCAUCUAGUCCUAUGAGACAUUCCCUGGAAAUGAUGUGCUCAUCCUCAUCAGCUACGUGAUGAAUGAAUCCAGGGGUGUUUGUCUGUGAAGUGUCUGCUAUCUCCUGUGCUUGAUUUACUGACGUGGAUGUUGUUCUCGAGGUGUGGGUUGAAGCCAUGAAAAUAAAUGCCUUCAAGGAAGGUAUGUAAGCAGACUGCAGUAUUGGAGGGUACUCACAGUUGGUAAGUAGGGCAGGGAAGAGGAAUGAGAAAAGGUAAGAAGGAGAGAGAGAAGUGAGAGAAUGAGAGUGAGGUAGUGACACUAGGAAAGUGACAUGUCAUGGGAGACAAAAACAAAAACAAAAAAAACGAGAGAGAGACGAAAUAACAGUGCCACAUCCUGAUAGAGUCAUCAAACUCUGAUGAAAGUCUAUUAAAUAUGGCAAUAAAGAGGUCAUUAGCAAGAUGUAGGAGAAAAGGUUUAGACAUGUGAUGAGUGAGAAGAAAGCCAGGAGAGAUGUGGCUGCCCAGGAAGGUGAGGCAGUGGUGGUGCCUGAUGUAUUCAAGUAUUUGGAUAGGAAAGAAUGUUGCCCUGUAGAGGAAAGAAUGUUGCCCUGUAGUGAAAAGAACCACCAGGUUCAAAUGAAGAUCAUGUCAAUGUGGGCAAAUCUCAGUACACAGGAUGAUAGGAGAAAAAGAAUCAGAAGAGAGAGGAUGUUUCAAAGGGAAGAGUGGCUGAGGGAUCCAGAUUUUUAGGAAAGGAUGGGAUUCAUAUGACUGAGGUCAGAAUCCUAGCCUAAAGUUGUAAAAUGAGGUCAGUGAAGUUACACUGUCAAACGCCAGCUCCCCAAAUGACCAUAGAAAACCCUUAGAACCAAGCAAAACUAAGGGGUAGAUAUUUACAGGGAUUUGUGGGUCUGGGUUCAAGUGGUUUAAGGCAAAUCUUUUUUUUUCCUAUGUCUUGUAAAUUUUUUUUUUUUUUUUUUUUUUUUUUUUACUUUAAGUUCUGGAAUACAUGUGCAGAACAUGCUGGUUUGUUACAUACGUGUGCCAUGGUGGUUUGCUGCACCUAUCAACCUGUCACCUAGGCUUUAAGCCCCACAUGCAUUAGCCACUUGUCCUGAUGCUCUCCCUCCCCUCACUCACCCCCUGACAGGUCCCAGUAUGUGUUAUUCCAUUCCCUGUGUCCAUGUGUUCUCAUUGUUCAACUCCCACUUAUGAGUGAGAACAUGUGGUGUUUGGUUUUCUGUUCCUGUGUUAGUUUGCUGAGGAUGAUGGCUUCCAGUCUCAUCCAUGUCCCUGCAAAGGACAUGAUACCACAUUCCUUUUUGUAGCUGCGUAGUAUUCCAUGGUGUAUAUGUACCACAUUUUCUUUAUCCAGUCUAUCAUUAUGGGCAUUUGGGUCAGUUCCAUGUCUUUGUUAUUGUGAAUAGUGC
rnacentral:lncRNA from 1 species